UACAGAGGGGGCAAGCGUUGUUCGGAAUUACUGGGCGUAAAGGGCGCGUAGGCGGCCUUCUAAGUCGAACGUGAAAUCCCCGGGCUCAACCCGGGAACUGCGUCCGAUACUGGAAGGCUUGAAUCCGGGAGAGGGAUGCGGAAUUCCAGGUGUAGCGGUGAAAUGCGUAGAUAUCAGGAGGAACACCAAUGGCGAAGGCAGCUCGCUGGGACGUGACUGACGCUGAGACGCGAAAGCGUGGGGAGCAAACAGG
rnacentral:rRNA from 1 species